CUGUGCUUUGAAUAUAAAAUUCUCCAGAGUUUUUCCCACUUCUCAAGGGUUUCCUUCUUCUCCGGUGGGAGGAUUAGAUUUUUUUUUUUUUUUUUUCCCCAACCAUAUUUAAGAAGUGACAAACCCAAAAUACUUUUGCAUCCAAGAGUAUGCAUAUCACUGCUUUGCAGUUACAUUUGCAUUACAUUUCUGGCAAUGGUCAUGAAUGGCUGGCAUCAGCUAUGACUCAUUAUUCAUUCCUCGAAGGACUUGCCAUAUCAGCAAGAGGCAAAAAAAAUAAUGUUCAAUUUCAUAUUGUUUCUUCUGAGACACAGAUACACCACAGGCAGUAUUGCUGGAGGAAACAGCUGGGAAUUGGAAAAGAAAGCUUGUUCAAAUAGAAGACAGACAGCUGGUAACCACACUGGACAGUAAUUGCCACUGUAAUGGAGCCACUUCUGAAAAAUGAAAUGUGGGUAGUCACCUGACAUAUACCAACUCAGACCCAGGAGAUAAAAUUCAGCAAGUUUGGAAUCACCUGAGAGCAUGACCUUAUUAUGGGAAAUAUGAGCUGAGUCCUUGAGAAGAUGGAGACAUAGGAUGUGGUGUAGAGGAAUACAGCUGGAAGCCCCAAGGCUAUAAACAGCUCAACUAUGAUCAGUUAAAGAAAUUUUGAUCAGGAGUGGGACCAAACUGGAUUUAAGGAUAGCAAAGGAAAAAGAAGCCAUCACCAUCAACUUUAUACUUCUUCCGAUGAAGGACAUGUGAAGCUGUCAACUUGUAGAAGCCCACUUACCUGCUCCCCAGCCCCAACCAGAUGGAAGCCAUGAACUCAAGGGCCUGGAUGUCAUUGGAAUGGUGAAUAAUACCAGAAAAAAAGACUAGAAGACAGGGAUUGUUUGUGUAACAUUCUGAACCAUUUUAUUAUU